CGUCUGUGAAACCCACAGAGUGAGCAGCAGCAGGCCGAGUCCUCGUGUGAGCUGUGGACCGUGGGUGGUGAUGCCGUGUUGAUGCGGGUCUGUCGGUCAUACAGACAUGCUGGUCUGGUGCAGUUGACGUCCAUGGCCACAACCCAGUAAGCGGCAGGGCUGGAAUCAGGAGUCAGGCUUUGCGGGACAAAGAGGAAGUGAGAUCUUGGUCUUAUGACUUUCUAGUUUCCAACCUAUUUGCCCUAAAGUGGAAGAUUGACAGCAGCAGAAGAGGAGAUCCUGGGCCAGUGCAGGCUCUGGGAGCAGCGGGUGACUUUCUGCAGGUAACGCACACAGCUUAGGAGAGCGCUGUAUUUCAGUUGCUGUUGGCUCUGAUGUGACUUUGUGGUGUCCGAUGUUCUGGUUCUGAG